UGGCUCAGAACGACGCUGGCGGCAUGCCUAACACAUGCAAGUCGAACGAAGCCUUCGGGCUUAGUGGCGCACGGUGCGUAACGCGUGGGAAUCUGCCCCUCGGUUCGGAAUAACAGUUAGAAAUGACUGCUAAUACCGGAUGAUGACGAAAGUCCAAAGAUUUAUCGCCGAGGGAUGAGCCCGCGUAGGAUUAGCAUGUUGGUGGGGUAAUGGCCCACCAAGGCGACGAUCCUUAGCUGGUCUGAGAGGAUGAUCAGCCACACUGGGACUGAGACACGGCCCAGACUCCUACGGGAGGCAGCAGUGGGGAAUAUUGGACAAUGGGCGAAAGCCUGAUCCAGCAAUGCCGCGUGAGUGAUGAAGGCCUUAGGGUUGUAAAGCUCUUUUACCAGGGAUGAUAAUGACAGUACCUGGAGAAUAAGCUCCGGCUAACUCCGUG
rnacentral:rRNA from 1 species